CGUGUAGGUGGUUCUGUAAGUAGGGCGUGAAAGCUCCCGGCUCAACUGGGAGAGGCCGUUCUAAACUACAGAACUAGAGGAUGGUAGAGGGAGGUGGAAUUCCAGGUGUAGCGGUGGAAUGCGCAGAUAUCUGGAGGAACAUCGGUGGCGAAGGCGGGUAACUGGACUGCAACUGACGCUGAGGCGCGAAAGUGUGGGGAGCAAACA
rnacentral:rRNA from 1 species